GUAGUGUACGGCAUCAUGGGUUCAGCAAGAAAAACCAGGAGAGGUUUAUGUAGGUUAAGUAAACUAAGCAACAUCUCCACAGUUUUGUGGUUUCCCAAUCCUCUGACAUUCCAAAAAAAAGAAGAGACCUUCAUUGCGACGUUGUAGAGAGAACUGCCUUAGCAGUUUUCCUGGAUUUACCAGUCCCCUUAGGUGGUCUCCCUGGUUUUCUUUUAGUGCGAACUGUUUCUUCCCCAUUAUCACUAUCAUCCUCCUCCAUCUCAGUAGAGUCAGCCCAAAAUUUUGAAACAACCUGAUUUUCAAUAUGAUCAGAAUUAAUUCCAACAAUGGUAGGCGGAAUAGUUGACGCUCCAAUAUGAGAAUUACCUCCCACAUCUGUAGUUUCCAAACCAUCAAGAGAGGAAAAGUGAUUUUGAAGGACCAACGAUAUUGCUUUAACAUCCCCAAUAUAUUUAGCCUUCCGAGGGGAGGUAUGUUAAACUUUUUUUAAGAAUGAAGAAAAUAAAAAAUUAAACUCUACAACAACAUAAAAGUUGAAUCUAUAAACAUAAAUUAGUAUUUAUUUUUAUUAUUAUUGAUAAUGUAAUCAUGUUAAUUUCAAGUAAAAGAUUCCGGACAUAAUUAUAAAAAAAAUCAAAGUCAAUUAGUAUUAAUUAAUAGUGGACACACAAAUAAUAUUGAAGUGUCUACCCUAAAUGCAAAAUCCUAACAAAAAAUACUAAUGCAAAUACUACACUUAAUGCUUAAAAAUGAGAAGAAGAAAAAUGUAAAAAUAAAUAAAUAUAGAAAAUAAAAAUAGCAACACUGCAAGGUC
rnacentral:lncRNA from 1 species